AUUGAACGCUGGCGGCAUGCCUUACACAUGCAAGUCGAACGGCAGCACGGGUGCUUGCACCUGGUGGCGAGUGGCGAACGGGUGAGUAAUACAUCGGAACAUGUCCUGUAGUGGGGGAUAGCCCGGCGAAAGCCGGAUUAAUACCGCAUACGAUCUACGGAUGAAAGCGGGGGACCUUCGGGCCUCGCGCUAUAGGGUUGGCCGAUGGCUGAUUAGCUAGUUGGUGGGGUAAAGGCCUACCAAGGGGACGAUCAGUAGCUGGUCUGAGAGGACGACCAGGCACACUGGGACUGAGACACGGCCCAGACUCCUACGGGAGGCAGCAGUGGGGAAUUUUGGACAAUGGGCGAAAGCCUGAUCCAGCAAUGCCGCGUGUGUGAAGAAGGCCUUCGGGUUGUAAAGCACUUUUGUCCGGAAAGAAAUCCUUGGCCCUAAUACGGUCGGGGGAUGACGGUACCGGAAGAAUAAGCACCGGCUAACUACGUG
rnacentral:rRNA from 1 species